AUUGAACGCUGGCGGCAUGCCUUACACAUGCAAGUCGAACGGCAGCACGGGUGCUUGCACCUGGUGGCGAGUGGCGAACGGGUGAGUAAUACAUCGGAACAUGUCCUGUAGUUGUGGAUAGCCCGACGAAAGCCGGAUUAAUACCGCAUACGAUCCACGGCUGAAAGCGGGAGCCCUUCGGGCCUCGCGCUAUAGGGUUGGCCGAUGCCUGAUUAGCUGGUUGGUGGGGUAAAGGCCUACCAAGGCGACGAUCAGUAGCUGGUCUGAGAGGACGACCAGCCACACUGGGACUGAGACACGGCCCAGACUCCUACGGGAGGCAGCAGUGGGGAAUUUUGGACAAUGGGCGAAAGCCUGAUCCAGCAAUGCCGCGUGUGUGAAGAAGGCCUUCGGGUUGUAAAGCACUUUUGUCCGGAAAGAAAUGCUUGGCUCUAAUACAGUCGGGGGAUGACGGUACCGGAAGAAUAAGCACCGGCUAACUACGUG
rnacentral:rRNA from 1 species